CCUUGAUGUGUAGGAUAGGUGGGAGGCUUUGAAGUGUGGACGCCAGUCUGCAUGGAGCCGACCUUGAAAUACCACCCUUUAAUGUUUGAUGUUCUAACGUUGGCCCGUAAUCCGGGUUGCGGACAGUGUCUGGUGGGUAGUUUGACUGGGGCGGUCUCCUCCUAAAGAGUAACGGAGGAGCACGAAGGUUGGCUAAUCCUGGUCGGACAUCAGGAGGUUAGUGCAAUGGCAUAAGCCAGCUUGACUGCGAGCGUGACGGCGCGAGCAGGUGCGAAAGCAGGUCAUAGUGAUCCGGUGGUUCUGAAUGGAAGGGCCAUCGCUCAACGGAUAAAAGGUACUCCGGGGAUAACAGGCUGAUACCGCCCAAGAGUUCAUAUCGACGGCGGUGUUUGGCACCUCGAUGUCGGCUCAUCAC
rnacentral:rRNA from 1 species